rnacentral:lncRNA from 10 species
GCCCGCUGCAGGCGGCUGGUGGUCCAGGGAAGCGGCGUCGACUGCGUGCAAAACAACCGCCGCCAACGCAACUCCACACCUCCCAGACCCACACGUCAAAGAACGCGAACCCCGCGGCCCCAACUUCUGGCCUCUCCGCUCCGGCGCCUGCAGCCCCGCGGGGAAGGGGCGACGCGAGGGGGCGCAGGGACAGCCCCGCACCUGGGAGGCCCGAGGGGGCGCCCGGGAGGGAGGGGCUGCAAACGGCGGCGAGCGCGCGCGGCAACCGCCAAACGCCCGCCUUUGUAGCCCCGGCCCCGCGUCCUUACCCUGCCGACGGCUGCUCGGCUCCGGCCCGCGGCGGCGGCCCCAGAGCCGAGGACCGGGGUGGGCUCGCGCUCUUCGUCACUGGAGAAGUCCGGGGGCCCCUUGCUGUUGGUGCCGGCGGGGAGCGGCGGCCGGUUGCGAGCCGUGAGGUGCUGCAGGACCGAGGGGUCUUCCAGGAACUCCGGCAUCUCGGGGAUCUGCGAAGCCCCCUCCCCACAGCCUUUGCCGCCGCCGCUCACGCCGGCGCGCUUGCUCCUGGCCGGGGACCGCGCUGCCGCCUCCGAGCCUCACGGCUCCUGCCCGGGAAGAGCGCUGCGGAGCGGAACAAAAACUCGCGGACACAAAGCCAAGCCAGACCCGGACACAAAAGACCCCAGAGCCGAACUACGAACCAACUGCGGCCAAGCUGGAAGCUCGCACCAACCCCAGCCCACACACUACAGGCAGGAGGCGAGCAGCCUGCUUCGCCCACGCCCCAAGAACGCGCGCCGCCAUUGGCGGGCGACGGGAGGAAGCGCGGCGGUGAUUGGCGAGACGGCUCGCGCGGGUUCCAUUAGCCGCCGCGCUGAGCGAGAGGAGGUAGAAACGCAGUUUAAAAGGCGCUGGGGCGGGAGCCGAGGCUCCCGGCCCGCUUCUGUUUUCGUUUUCUCCACCCUUCCCCUUAGACGCCGAUAAGGGACAGGUCGUACUGCUUUUGUGCGCCGUUUCCUCUCCCUCCCCCAGCUUGAGAAGCAGCUUUCGUCUCUGGGGUCGAUCGCCUACGAACGCGCCGAAUUCCACGCCAGUGUGAGGACCCUUGGCUGGGCCUUUCUUCCUCCCGGGACACUGAAGCUCCAAGAGUAGCCGCAGCCUUGCCUUCCCCAAACGCUAGCCCUGAAGGGGAAGAAAAGAAGCGAGGCUUGUCUGCAGGCACUCAUAUUCCUUGAUUUGAUUUACUUUGGGAGGGGGAGGGCGGGGAGUUACCCCUCUCCUCGCGAACGCUUCUUUUGUUCCAGAAACCCAGGGGAAGCCAGACCUCUACAAUCGGGCACUUAAAUUACCCUUGAAUUUGUGACAAAAGUGUACUAUACCAUUCACUUCUUAGUGUCAUAGUUGGGGCAUGUCUAAAUUGUUUAAUUUGAACAGUGCGUUCAGACGCAAGACAAAUUCGCGCUUGCAUUUUUGUUGAAACCGUCUCUGGCUUUGGAUCCCACCACCCGCAAGAAUCCUAAACCUAACGUUUGAUAACAAAACGAAGGAGAACCCUUGGGAACCCCCUCAAUGGUCAAUUUAAAAUAACAGAUGGUGCAUAAUCCUAAAGGAAGACUAGUGACCUAUAAUUAGGCCUAGAACCCUAAUCAAACCCGUAUUACCGAUCCAAAUUAAAACCUGGUAGAAUCUAAUACAUUGACUGCAAUUAAAAUGUUUGCCUGGAAAUUAGUAUCACUGAUGACAAAUAUUUGUAUUUCUGAUGAAUAUGUAUGUUUAAAGAUGCUUUCUUUCUAGAAAGGAAAGGAGACCUUGGAUGUAGGGUGUGUUAAUCAUUUCCCCAGAAUCUGAGCUCCAAACUAUGUUUUAGAAACUGGUUAAAUUUUUUUUAAAUGUUUGCCUGCUUUCUACAUUGCUAGGUUAGAAUACAUUUAAAACAAACGCCUUCACUAAAAAUGUUUCCUAUGAUUUAAGCGACUUACUUUUAUUCAAAUUGCGAUAUUAUUUCUUUUAGUGAUAAUUAUUUUCCUAGAGGUAACUAAUUCCUUUAUAAAAAUCUCAGUAUUCACAUACAUUUAAGCAAUGGUAUUAAGCUCAAUAAUGCAAAUUAAAAAUCAGGUUUUAAUUAGCAAGUUGUUAGGUAGGUUUUUAUGAUCCCUUGUAAAAGUUGCUUGGUUUUUUGUCCUCACAGCUUCCCUGGACACAUAGGCAAAUGUUUUUAUCUUCAGAAGGGGAACUGAGCUGAGAGGCAAAGGACCAUGACUUUGCAAUGACUGGUAACCCAGUACGUAUAAUGCAAGAACUGCAUUCUAGAUACGCCUGAAAUUAAUGUUUCCUGGGCAAAAACAUUUUCAUUAUCUUUUUUUUAAUCCCUGGACAUUAGCUACAGGUGGUUACUUGCAGAUUUACUGCUGUAGAGCUCCAAAAUUGAGAUUACACUUUUCAGAUUCUGCGUACCCUAAGGCUAAGAGGUUGGGCUAUUGAGUUUGGGUGGUCUCUUUGGUCCUGAUUGCUACUUCCAAACCAUUUCUGCUCUUUUCUGCUUCAAAAAUAUUUGAAGUUCAUAUCUUCUGGCUAAAUCACUUUCUACUCUCCUUCCUGCCAUCAUCCACGAGCCUCCUGGUCACUUUCCAGAAAUUAUAGAGCUGCUUGCCGUAGGUUUUCCUCACCAUCCCUCUUGUCUACAUUCUAUCUGAAUUCAGCAUGCUUGUAGGUGACCCAUGCAACACCAACACUUGGCCUCUUAGACCUCUGACCUCUUCAUCUCCAACAAUUUGUUCCUCUCUUGCGUCUUAACCACUUCGGUAUCAGUCAGAUUCUGAACCUUGUCAUCAGUUGAAAUCUCAGUUUCAAGCUUCCCAAUUGUCAAUCACUAGCCUUUUUUUCCCAGCUAAUUUAUGGUACUCUCACUUACCUAAUUAAGACCUCCACGCUAUUAACCCCAACACUUAAAAAAACUCAACUCUUCUGCUUCUGCCAUCAUGUAAUAAUUUUGCAACUCACCUGACUUAAAUUCCCUGAUCAGUCCUUUUCAUCACUCUUUUACAAACAUUUUCAACUCUCUGAUCUCAAUGUCUCCUUUUUUGCUUGAAAGAAUCUCAGCCUUGCUUGGACUAAACCAUGCUCCAGCUGAACUUUCUCAUUGCUUACAUCCAAACAGCAAAAGCUGCUGGAGAAAAGUCAGUCAUAUAACAAGCUAACUGGUUUUAAUUCAUGACCUCAGUCCUCUCAGGAGCACUCAACACUGGCUGGCAAUGCUAUUCCAGUCUCUGGGUUAACCAUUCAUACGUUCACAUCUCCUCAAAUUUCACAUCCUUUUUCCCUACCUCUCAUUUUUAGCUGGUGACCUUGCCUCAACUUCAAAAAAUAAAAACCACCUAUGAGGAAUGCUUCAA